rnacentral:rRNA from 1 species
AUUGAACGCUGGCGGCAGGCCUAACACAUGCAAGUCGAGCGGAUGAAGGGAGCUUGCUCCUGGAUUCAGCGGCGGACGGGUGAGUAAUGCCUAGGAAUCUGCCUGGUAGUGGGGGAUAACGUCCGGAAACGGGCGCUAAUACCGCAUACGUCCUGAGGGAGAAAGUGGGGGAUCUUCGGACCUCACGCUAUCAGAUGAGCCUAGGUCGGAUUAGCUAGUUGGUGGGGUAAAGGCCUACCAAGGCGACGAUCCGUAACUGGUCUGAGAGGAUGAUCAGUCACACUGGAACUGAGACACGGUCCAGACUCCUACGGGAGGCAGCAGUGGGGAAUAUUGGACAAUGGGCGAAAGCCUGAUCCAGCCAUGCCGCGUGUGUGAAGAAGGUCUUCGGAUUGUAAAGCACUUUAAGUUGCGAGGAAGGGCAGUAAGUUAAUACCUUGCUGUUUUGACGUUACCAACAGAAUAAGCACCGGCUAACUUCGUG